CCAACACACAAUUGAAGUGCGUUUAGCAGUUUUUCACGGCGGACGAAAACUCUGGCGUUCCACGCCCGGAAACAACCCACGUCCAAUUUACUCUGCCCCGCAAUUAUCUCCUCCGAAACUCACGUGUCUUUCCUGGCUAUCCCGAACCCCUUCUCCACCAGCAGCCAUAGCCAAUCCCGCGACCCCCUUCUCCAUCCGCCGCGGCCGCCGCCGCCGCCACUCCCGUGCUCCCCUUCUCCACCGCCGCCGCCGCUGCACCCCACUCCCCACGCCGCACCGAUUCCCUUCCCUCCCCUCUAACUCCUCCGCCGGAGCUUCAUUAUCAGAACUGCUUGGCCCUGGUACGUUGCAGCCGCGCCCGCGCCGCGGUAGAUUUGGCGGUGGAAGAAUCUUCGAAUAGUCCAUGCGUCCGCGUUUCUUCUUCUGCUCCGCUCGCGUUGUAGCCUGGGGGGUUGGGACACGGCACCUCCUGAGCUGGUUCCUGUUGCCCGCUGUGGUGGUCCACCGGGGCUUCAUUACCGGAGAAGCUUGGGCCUGCGCCCUACCGGCGCACCCAGCCGAGCGCCCCAUCCAACAAGCGACGCCACGGCUGAGGCGCUACAUGUGUAUUUAUACAUCGAGCUCCAUGAGGCGAGCAAUGCAGCGAGUAUUUAUACAUCGAUGGAUCGAUACAUGUGUGAUUGUGUUCGCCUCUUCCUUAACUUGCUGACAAAGGGUCCUCUUCAUGCCCUCCCUCGACCCCUCGACAGCUCUUCGCAGCAGGCAGGUCGCCACACACGAGAUCUCUCCAAGUCGCCGGAUUAGAGGAGAGGAAAAAUUGGAACCUGAGCCUGAAGACGACCCAUAUAAGGAUAUAUCUGAGAGGUAUACGUACAGGUCUACGAACUCAUCUCCAGGUUAUAUUUGAGGUAUCAUUUUUUUCUUAAUUGUGUUCACUAAAGAUUAAUUGUCCAGGGUUUUUUACAACAAUUUAUCUAUGUUGUAUACACAUUGUUGAGCCUUAUGUCUGACUUCCUCCAAUAGAACGCACCAGCCUUAAAUCCAAGAUCUGGAAGUGGACAUAUCAAUCCCGUGCAACACAAUCUUGGAUAAAUUAGUUUGUUUUCUGGUCCAGAUGAUUUUUUCAAGUGCAGAAAUAAAAUAGACAUGGUUAGUCUGAGGUAUUCCUGUCUGAUUUUCUUUAGGUUUCUACCUAUUAUUGUUUGUCUUUUGAGUUAUGAGUUAUGUUGACGUGAAUGCAACUGAUGGAUGAUUUCUUAGUUUGAGAAUUACAGUAUUUUGUUCUCAAGAUCUAUAUCCCGGAUUACAAUUAUGUACACUCGAUUUUCUGCAUCAUUCCAUCAAGAUUUGUUCCAUGGAAACACUAUCAAAUUAUGCCUAACUUUUCUCUAGAUUGUGCUUAUAGCAAAACAUUUCCAGGAUCAAUCCUUUUACCACCUCCUGUCAGCUAUGCAGCAGACGAGCUCACCUCAAGGGAGUGCACUGUGCCUGGCGCACUCAACUCAGUGGAGCGCAUGGCGAUGGCUGAAGUUCUACUACUUCAGUUUUUUUUUUGUCUAACUGAACCACAUUUGAGAUUUUUGUUGUCGAUUUUGCGAGAGGAAGUGUUUGCUUUAGACAUGCAAAAUUUGUUCCAAAAACCAAAGGAAAUGAUGUAAGUCAUUGAGUGCCAUCUGGUGAAACAAUAUCUUGAAGGACUAGGAUAAACUGGUUGUAUGUCAUGAACCUUUCCCUGAAAGGCUUCAGAACCACAUCCAAAAUCUGAAGGAAAUGUUGUAAGGCAUCGAGUAUUGUAUUUUUUCUAUUGAGGGAUAUCAUCCAAAAAAGAAACACUCAUACACUAACAUUGCAGUAACCUUUUGUUCGGUUAUAAUCAUGUCUGUAGUACAAUAUGUCAUCAGGCAUUUAUCGAGUUAUUAAGCAACAUGGAAUUGUCUAUAUGGGUCGUCUUCAGGUAAACUAUCACUGGAUGCACAGUUUUUUUUUAUUUGGUCAAGAAGUAGAAGGCAUGAGAAGAAUUAAACUAUUUCAUGUAUUGUUGUUUAUAUCUAGGCAAAUUAUUACUGGUUGUGCUAGCAUGGCAUGCAAAAUAUUGUGUGUGAGAGGCUAUGAAGCUGUGAUUUAGGAUGUCAAAUAAGAUGGCUUCUAAGGUCUUCAACCAUCGUGGAAAGGUGAGCUCCAAGAAUUGGUGCUUCAAGAAAGGUGAGCUCCAAGGUAUUUUUUGCUUUUUUUUGCUAGCUCCAAGAAUUCCAUGCUAGCUCAAAGAAUUUUUGCUUCAAUGAAAAUCAGAACAUCAGUACAGAUUACAUGUUAGGGGUUGCAUUUUUUGCUUUUUUGUAUAUUGGAUUAUUUAACAAGCUGAUAUUCUUUUCUUUAGUAAUGGGUAGAUGAAAGUUAAGCAGAACAUAGUCUGUAAUUGAUGGUCCAGUGAGAAAGUGAUUUAAGUCGGCGCUGCUGCCAAUGGGUGGCAGUGCCCCUGCUCCUGGAUCAUCACUCAACCAUAUUUUUGGCUGCAACUGGAAAUAGGAUGUUGAAGGAAGUUUUAUGACUACCAAGGUACUUUUUUUUACAACCUCUGAUUGUCAACUUUCUUCAAAGAUGCAUCACUGUUGUAUCCUCUCCUACAAUAUAAAAGCUUUUGUCAUGAUAUUUCUGGUUGCGGUUUCGUAAACUGAACAAUCAUCAAAAUGCACAAGUCUUUUCAUAUUGAAACUGUACUUUCAUUGAACCUUCUGCUUCCAGCCAUAUAUCAUAUAGAGAGUAAGCUUGGUGGGAGAAUACAACAGACAUUCAGUUAUAGAAGUUAAAAGGCACAGAAAACAUGGCACACGAAGGAGCCGGAAUAAAAGAAAUCAGAAAAUUGGAUGUCGUCUCCUAGCAAAAUCUCUUUUGUUCCUUUCAUAUUUUAUAUCUACGGGUCACAUGGAGGUGCUCUUAGGUGUAUGUACUGCUGGGUAUCCUUGCCAUUCUUCAUGGUUUCAUAUUGAGAUUUAUAUGCAACUGUUUCAUAUACAGGUAUGAACAUUGUUUUCAAAUUCAGUGACCAUUCCUGAAAGAAAAAAAAUGAUGGCCAAUUGCAUUGUCUUCUGGAAUGUAAUUUAUGCACCAUGGAGUACUAGCAUAGGACAGAUGUAUUGGUUGUAGACCAUGGUGAAAGGCUUUAUGAAUUAAAAUUUACAAGUGUGUGAGUAAUAUAUUGCCAUCCAUCCAUAGAUUUUUACUCACUUCAUUGUUCGGCACAGUUUAAUUGUCAGUGUCCAAAAUGCAUAUGAUUUUAUUUUGUACUCCCAGCCAAUUACAGCUUUACUGGUUCUUUUAAAAUUAAAUGGAAGUAGAUACUGGUUUCAGCUUCUAAACAAAUGUUUGACAGAUUCCCUUUCAAUUUGAGUCACAGGAAAUGGAGUGUUUACCCGAGGGUUCGUGGAAGAAAUCUACGUGCCAUCAUGAGGAAAGAGGGAACGACCUACGGCAUGGGAUACCGAAGAGUGAAAACUGUAGUUCUGUUUUGUUCUUCAAAUAGAUCUUUUUAUUGGGACCACUUUAUGUUGUAUAGUGAAAUCAUGUUAUAUACUAUAAUCAUGUUGUCUUGAGAAGAAUCAAGCAAGAAUUAACUUGUCCAGUGACUAUGUUUAACAAUGGUGGGGACUGGAGGAAUAAUUAGUAUAUUUAAUGUU